AGCAAUUCUCCUACCUCAGCCUCCCGAGUAGCUGGGAUUACAGGUGCUGCCAUGGCCACGACUGAUGUUACACUCGAGCUGAGGAGGCCGGCUGCAGCCCCAAGACAGAGCGCUACUCCUGGCAGUGCGUCAAUCAGAGCGUCCUGUGCGGUUACCAUGCCAGCAAUGAUUCCUUUUGAGUUUCUGACAGAAGAUAGUGGUUUUCAUCCAAAUAAGUCAACUACUCUACCCCAUCCCUAAGCCACUUGUAUGGAAAGAAAAAGAGGAAGAAGCCAGUACUGUGACUGCGUAAGCUUCCCCCAGCAUCACCGGCUAUGAGAUGUGUGGCAGCUGAGACCCGGGAACUGCUCAAGGGCACCAGGCCCCAUCUGUCUGCACUC
rnacentral:lncRNA from 1 species